rnacentral:rRNA from 1 species
CAUGUGGAGCGCUUAGAAGUGAGAAUGCCGGUGUGAGUAGCGAAAGACGGGUGAGAAUCCCGUCCACCGAUUGACUAAGGUUUCCAGAGGAAGGCUCGUCCGCUCUGGGUUAGUCGGGUCCUAAGCUGAGGCCGACAGGCGUAGGCGAUGGAUAACAGGUUGAUAUUCCUGUACCACCAUUAUUCGUUUUAAGCGAUGGGGGGACGCAGUAGGAUAGGCGAAGCGUGCUGUUGGAGUGCACGUCCAAGCAGUGAGAUUGAGUGUUAGGCAAAUCCGGCACUCUUAAGAUUGAGCUGUGAUGGGGAGAGGAACUUGUUCCUCGAGUCGUUGAUUUCACACUGCCGAGAAAAGCCUCUAGCUAGAAUAACGGUGCCCGUACCGCAAACCGACACAGGUAGUCAAGAUGAGAAUUCUAAGGUGAGCGAGCGAACUCUCGUUAAGGAACUCGGCAAAAUGACCCCGUAACUUCGGGAGAAGGGGUGCUCUUUGAGGUUCACGCUUCGAAGAGCCGCAGUGAAUAGGCCCAAGCGACUGUUUAUCAAAAACACAGGUCUCUGCUAAACCGUAAGGUGACGUAUAGGGGCUGACGCCUGCCCGGUGCUGGAAGGUUAAGAGGAGUGGUUAGCGCAAGCGAAGCUACGAAUCGAAGCCCCAGUAAACGGCGGCCGUAACUAUAACGGUCCUAAGGUAGCGAAAUUCCUUGUCGGGUAAGUUCCGACCCGCACGAAAGGCGUAACGAUUUGGGCACUGUCUCAACGAGAGACUCGGUGAAAUCAUAGUACCGGUGAAGAUGCCGGUUACCCGCGACAGGACGGAAAGACCCCGUGGAGCUUUACUGUAGCCUGAUAUUGAAAUUCGGUACAGUUUGUACAGGAUAGGUAGGAGCCUUAGAAGCGUGAGCGCUAGCUUACGUGGAGGCAUUGGUGGGAUACUACCCUAAUUGUAUUGGAUUUCUAACCCGCAGCACUUAUCGUGCUGGGAGACAGUGUCAGGCGGGCAGUUUGACUGGGGCGGUCGCCUCCUAAAGAGUAACGGAGGCGCUCAAAGGUUCCCUCAGAAUGGUUGGAAAUCAUUCAUAGAGUGUAAAGGCAUAAGGGAGCUUGACUGCGAGACCUACAAGUCGAGCAGGGUCGAAAGACGGACUUAGUGAUCCGGUGGUUCCGCAUGGAAGGGCCAUCGCUCAACGGAUAAAAGCUACCCCGGGGAUAACAGGCUUAUCUCCCCCAAGAGUUCACAUCGACGGGGAGGUUUGGCACCUCGAUGUCGGCUCAUCGCAUCCUGGGGCUGUAGUCGGUCCCAAGGGUUGGGCUGUUCGCCCAUUAAAGCGGUACGCGAGCUGGGUUCAGAACGUCGUGAGACAGUUCGGUCCCUAUCCGUCGUGGGCGUAGGAAAUUUGAGAGGAGCUGUCCUUAGUACGAGAGGACCGGGAUGGACAUACCUCUGGUGUACCAGUUGUCGUGCCAACGGCAUAGCUGGGUAGCUAUGUAUGGACGGGAUAAGUGCUGAAAGCAUCUAAGCAUGAAGCCCCCCUCGAGAUGAGAUUUCCCAACUUCGGUUAUAAG